rnacentral:rRNA from 1 species
AACGAACGCUGGCGGCAGGCUUAACACAUGCAAGUCGAACGCCCCGCAGGGGGAGUGGCAGACGGGUGAGUAACGCGUGGGAAUCUACCCAGUUCUACGGAACAACUGAGGGAAACUUCAGCUAAUACCGUAUACGCCCUACGGGGGAAAGAUUUAUCGGAAUUGGAUGAGCCCGCGUUAGAUUAGCUAGUUGGUGGGGUAAUGGCCUACCAAGGCGACGAUCUAUAGCUGGUCUGAGAGGAUGAUCAGCCACACUGGGACUGAGACACGGCCCAGACUCCUACGGGAGGCAGCAGUGGGGAAUAUUGGACAAUGGGCGCAAGCCUGAUCCAGCCAUGCCGCGUGAGUGAUGAAGGCCUUAGGGUUGUAAAGCUCUUUCAGUGGGGACGAUAAUGACGGUACCCACAGAAGAAGCCCCGGCUAACUUCGUGCCAGCCGCCGCAGUAACAC